rnacentral:rRNA from 1 species
AACGAACGCUGGCGGCAUGCCUAACACAUGCAAGUCGAACGAGACCUCCGGGUCUAGUGGCGCACGGGUGCGUAACGCGUGGGAACCUGCACUUAGGUUCGGAAUAACUCCCCGAAAGGGGUGCUAAUACCGGAUAAUGUCUUCGGACCAAAGAUUUAUCGCCUUUGGAUGGGCCCGCGUUGGAUUAGCUAGUUGGUAGGGUAAGAGCCUACCAAGGCGACGAUCCAUAGCUGGUCUGAGAGGAUGAUCAGCCACACUGGGACUGAGACACGGCCCAGACUCCUACGGGAGGCAGCAGUGGGGAAUAUUGGACAAUGGGCGAAAGCCUGAUCCAGCAAUGCCGCGUGAGUGAUGAAGGCCUGAGGGUUGUAAAGCUCUUUUACCCGGGAUGAUAAUGACAGUACCGGGAGAAUAAGCUCCGGCUAACUCCGUG